UACGAAGGGGGCUAGCGUUGCUCGGAAUCACUGGGCGUAAAGCGCACGUAGGCGGAUUGUUAAGUCAGGGGUGAAAUCCUGGAGCUCAACUCCAGACUGCCUUUGAUACUGGCGAUCUCGAGUCCGGGAGAGGUGAGUGGAACUGCGAGUGUAGAGGUGAAAUUCGUAGAUAUUCGCAAGAACACCAGUGGCGAAGGCGGCUCACUGGCCCGGUACUGACGCUGAGGUGCGAAAGCGUGGGGAGCAAACAGG
rnacentral:rRNA from 1 species